UUGCGCCACUGCCCUCCAGCCUGGGCGACAGUGAGCCUCCAUCUCAACAACAACAACAAAAAGGAUGUGUAGGAUUUAAUAGACUUUUAUGAGGGGCAGGGGGUGGGGAAUAUCCCAGACAGAAUAGGUAAACAGAGGCCCUGCACCUGCACACCCCAAAUUGGUAAUGCUUGUGCGGGGAGGAGGAAAUGACUGGCCAGGUGGGUGCUGGGUGUGGCUGUUGGCAGGAAAGCAAGAGAAGACUGCAGUGAGGUCUGGGCUGGCGUGGACACCUGGAGAGGGCCAUGGACAUGGCUCUUAGGGCAGAAGGAUGGCUUCUGAGCUGGGAGAGGCCCUGGCUUCCGGAGGCAUUGUCUGGCUGCUCUGGGCAGGAUGGCAGAGCUGGGAGAGGCAGCAGAGGGGAGGGCACUGAGGCCCAGUGCCAUAGCCCAGGCCAGAGGUCAUGGGGCCUGGAUUGGGAGUGGGGGGGUGGCCAUGGGACAAGAGAAAGGAAAAGCUGUGAAAGAGUGGCCUGAAGCUGCCUGUGCCUGCAAUGAGGGCCCCCUCCCUCCUGUCUCUUAGUGCCCCGGCCCUUCCAGAUUCCUGGUCUUUGCUGUCUUUGGCUCGUCUUCUGGGAAUGCUCCUCUACAGCUCUUCAGAAGGCAGACUCCUCGUCACCCUGACCACAGGGCACUCCUUGCACAGGACCCCUCUGGCCACUGUAUCCAAAGUCGCCACUUAUCACCACCCCAUCAGUAGUCUCUGUCCCAAGGCAGCCUACAUUUUCUCGGAUGACUAUGUGUUUGUUAACAGGGCUCCCUCGCUCCUCUGAGGAUCAAAGGGGACAAAGGGGAUUCCAGAGUUUCCAGUCCGGUUGGCAGGGAGGCCUCAGGCUCACUCCCAGUACAGACAUGAGAGAGAGGCAGGUCUGUGUCAACUCCACCGAGGAAGGGUCCCUCUCACCCUGGACAAAGGGCAGGGACAACAUAGGGAUGUCAUUUUGCAUUCCCAGCUGCUGCUGCUGUUCAGGAAGGCCUAACAGGAGGUGGGGUGGAGCCUGGAGCCCAGAGUAGGGAAAGGAAGGCCGGGCAAGGGGAAGGAGCUGCCAAGGUCUUCCCAGCUCCUCUUUCCCCUUGAAGUCACUUUUUCCCCUUGGAAGCUUCUAGAGAUAGACAUAUAAAAUACUCCCCCUGAGAAAACAGUGGACCUGGAUCAUUUCUGGAGAGCAGAAGUGCUGAACCCACAAUAUUUAGGUGCCCCUGGGCUUCUUCCGCCCCUGCUGCCCUUACUCUGGGGGAGGCACAUUGGUGAUGAGCUGAUGUGACUCGAGUACUGCUGUGACGGAGGAGGCUGUUACUCCUCCUCUUUGCCCUCCCAGGAGCAGGGACCCUGGGGCGUCUGGGACCUGUCAGGCACGGGGGAUGGCUCUGGUAUUUCAUGGCAGCUCAAUGCCCCACAUGCCUGAAAUUCUGAUGCGUCCACUCCACCGGCCUUCUGUGGCUGUCCCCGUGACCUGGAGGCUGUCCUCGGCCUCUUCAAGCCUGCAGCCCCCACAAGCGGAACUCAGCCCAGCAGGGCCUAGAAGAAUGUGGAGCUGGGGACUGAGUGCUGGGAAAGGAAUCUGGGUGGAAAUUUCCAUGACUCUUCUGCUCAAGCAAAGACUGCAGCUGAGGCCCAAGAUGUCAACAGAGACCAGGGCCCAGGUCACAAAGGGUCACUUUUCCUCUCUCUGGGCUCUUUAUCACCUACUGCCCCACCCUGAGCCAAGGCCAUAAACCUCAUGCAGUCCAGCCUCCUCUGUUCCUGCCCCCCCCACCCCCACCCCCACUGUUUGUGGCAGCAAGAUCCCUACUUUCCCUACUUGCACUGACCUCCCUCCACUGCUCCCCACAGUCGUGGCCACUCUCCUGGCAGUGGGAGCCCCCCAACUUCAGGAGCCAGGUCAAGACCCCUUGAACCUGAACAGUCAGUCCAUGCUGCAGAUUCCUGCAGCCUUCCCUGCCCAGUGACGUCACCAGCACGCCUGGGACUGUGCCCUUCAUUUGGUGAAUCAGCUGUUUUUUUUAAUUUUUAUUUUCUUCUCAUUGUCCAAACGCAUCUCAGCCCUUGUUAUCCUGAGCUAUGGUGUGUGGCUUUUAUUGCUGUUUGUCAUUGUCACCUGUCUUGAAAACAGAGUUCAUGUCUUAUAGUUCUGCCUCAGCUCAGGACGGCUCUGCACAUGACUUAGGCAGCAUCCGCCCACACAGUCAGCCCAUGCAGCCUUGGGCUGGUGCUAGGGGCUCUGAGAGGCUCACCCCAGUCCCAGCUGGUGGUCUCUGUGGAUUCCCCAGCCAGAUCAGGCAGAAGUGUUUGUGGUUUGCCCUCCCUGUCUGCCCCCAGCCAGAAUUCCAACCUGGCCAGUUCUAAAAGCUGAACCGUGAAGACUCAGCCCUGCCUGGAGCAGCCUUCCCUGGAGCCUGGCUGACUGCACCCACCAGCCGUCAGCUCUGGCCUAGAAACUUAGGGGUCCUGGAGACAGCAGGUCCUGCUACCUCCCUGUCCUCCAUUCAGCCUAAAUGUCCACCUCCUCAGGGGCCUGCCUUCAGCUCACCUGCAGACCAUAGAAGUCUCCCUGCUGUGCACUCAUCCCCUGCGCUUUGGCACUCCCUACUCCGCCCCAGGUGUUCUGCAACAUCGGUAGCAUGACAGAGGGCUUCUUAGAGAGAGGGCGCCCUUGCUACCAGGGUCCACAGGCUCAGUCUCAGCCUGGUUCCUGUUUGUGGUGCCCCUUUCUCAGGCCUGUGGGGAUGUCAGGAGCUUAGGACAGCGCCGGGCUCAAGAGAUGUGGCUACCUUCCCUCCUGCUUUCGGUACUCAGCGCAGGCAGGGUUCAGUGCAGCAAGUAACAGCUGUGGCUUACUGGAUUGUCUGCAACCAUUGGCGACUGAGAGAUCCCUGCAGCCCUCCCAGACCCUCGAUCUGACUGGAGCCAGGCCCACGUGGGGAAAGGGUUAAACGUUGGCAGUGACUUCACCCCUGCAUUGGAGCAGGCGGAGGCAGAGUAGGUAAAAAAAUCAGGACAGAGGCUGGUUGGAAUUUUCCAGCGUUCAUAAACAGGACCAGUCAGGGUUGCUAAGGGAGGUCACCAUGGAAACGGUCACGUGCGCCUGCCUCCUGGUUAUUCCACCCUGGUCAGGAGGAUGAUGCAAGCUCCGAGCCUCUUCAUUGGCUGCCACCUUCCUCUUGCCACCGAAAUCUGGUGGGAGAUUGGCUGAGGACAGUUGCUGGGCUGGAGCUAGCCUUUCCCUUUCUCCCCCAUCCCUCCCACAGGAACCUGCUGGAAGCUGUUCUGAACCAGAGAAGGAUGAAAAUAGCUGCCAAAGAUGUUGCCAUAGCAACUGCUUUCCUUCCUGACCUCCUUGGAAGUGAACUCCCUCAUUUUCCAGAGUAGUCAAGGAAUUUCUGUGCCUCUACCCAUGGCUUUGGUUACCAACUCAUCCCUGGGGGCCUUGGUUUCUUUCUGUGAAAUGGAAUAUUCAUUCCAGCACUCACCACCUUCUAGGCUGGAGUAAGGCUCCAACUUUGCAAAUGCUGUUAGUAAACUGUAGAGCUCCGUGCA
rnacentral:lncRNA from 1 species